UUAUGUUGUCAGACAAUCUAACAUGUUAUGUUGUCAGACUGUGAAUCUAAUGUGAAAAUGAACGGUAAUAUCAGUUUGACAACAUAAAAUAAAAAGGUAAAGUAUGCCAGUUUCCAAGCCAAUGUAACUUCCAUUUAACCCAUAAAAUUCUUUACAACAAAUAAAAAGGUAAAAGCUCCAUUUGUAGCAAUCUUUUUUAAUAGAACAAAAAAACAACCCAAAAAACACAGCAAAAUUAUCCACACACUCGCACACACUCACACGUGGGAGAGAAGGCGCCAAGCCAAAAACACCUAGUAUCAUUCUAUCUUCUCCUCACAACUCACAAGCAAAAUUCAUUCUAUCCAGUAUCCACAGUCCCAAAGUCGAAGGCUUUGAAGCUCACACCCAUUAAAUGACGGAAGUGCCCCUCCUGCCAGUCCUAAUUUACCAACCCAGGACCUCCCUUUAUGGCAUCUCUGCUUCGCUGUCCCUGCUCCACUGAAGCACUGGAGGCUAGGCGGCUCAUGGACGUUCCUGAAGCUCAUGCUCGUCCUCGGCGCCACAACCAUCUUCUCGCCCAACGAACCCACUUCUCCUCUUGGCCCGUGAGCCUGAGAUUUCUAUCGCCGUACAUAUGCCAUCACAUACCCCUCAGAAAUGAAUUCAGAUUCACUCUUUGUAUGGCGAAGCAUAGUUCGUUCCUAAGAUCCCCUAUGAUGUCCAUGGAGAGAGGAAAGUCAAAUGCUGUUGUUAAAGGAAUGUGCAAGAUAGUCUGGACUAUAGAGGCUGAUCUGGCAGCUGGUGAGUUUCUGUACAUAACUGGGGAUCCUACUAUUCUUGGCUGCUGGGAACCGGAGAUUGCUAUACUAAUGUCUCCUACAGAACAUACGAACUUAUGGAAGGCUGAAGUCAGGAUUUCUGGUGGUGUAAAUUUCAAGUAUAACUAUUUUAUAAAGAGAGAAAUGUGGCCUCCAUCUGACAUCAUUUGGAGACCUGGACCUGAAUUCUCUCUAUCAGUACCCCUACCUGUCAAACAAGGUGGAAGAAUUGGAGUGAGGGAUUCAUGGAUGAGGCCCGAUACCACAAUGUCUCCAAUUAUUUCGUGGGGGUCAUGGAUAGAGGAGGCAUAUCUUCCAAUACCACCUUUAUUCUCAGCUCCAGCUAGAGAUGAAGAUGAGAUUAUGAAAUACCUUAAAAGUGAUAUAAUAGAACCAAAGCCAGUCUUAAAUCUUCCUAUGGAGAAGCGCAUGUUAUACUCUGAUAGAGAACUUACUGCAAGUGCUACCCACAAGGGCUUCAUUUCCAAUACUGACAUACUAGAGUUGAACCCAUCUUUAAAUGAACCUAUGGAGGAUAACGUGUACUCUGAUGGCGACCGUAUAGUGAAUACCAGUCAGAGGGGGUUAAUUUCUAAUAGUUUUUCAACUGAAAGAUAUCAUCCUAUUGAGGAACCCUGGUUACUCCAAUCACCUCUCUUCUUUCUUGUGUCCAACGAUAAGAUGGGUUCUGAUAUGUCCAAAAAGAAUGGCGGCAUGAAAGAUUGUGUGGCAAAUUUGGACAACACAGGACAAUCGUUGCCUGAAGAAAGAAAUAAUCUAAUUUCGAAUGAACCUGUGUCUACCAUUAUACUGAUUAAUUCUUCUAUAUGUACCAUGCAAAGGAUAGCUCUACUGGAAUAUGGGAAAUUGGUUGAGUUACUACUGGAACCCGUUAAAAGUACAGUCCAGUGUGAUAGUGUGUAUCUAGGGGUGGUUACAAAACUUGUCCCCCAUAUGGGUGGUGCAUUUGUAAAUAUUGGGAGUUCUAGACCCUCACUAAUGGACAUUAAACAAAACAGAGAACCAUUCAUAUUCCCGCCAUUCCGUAGGACAAAGAAAAUGGAAGCCAAUGGUUAUAUGCUUGAUGAUCGCGUGAAUGCAUAUGGAAAUGAACGCAUGCCACUUGAUUACGAAGUGACUGACGACAUCAUUGAAAUCAACUCUCAGGAUGAUUUUGUAAAAUCCAUUUACGAUGUUGAUGAUGAUGAUGAUGAUGAUGAACAUGAAAUUGAGGAUGAAUUUGAUGUUUCAUAUGUUAAGGAAAACGUGAAUGGUAGUAUGCUCGACACUGGUGAUGUGGGAAAUGAUUAUCUAAAAGGUGACACCAGUGCUAUUCCUGUUGCCAUAAAUGGUUCUAGCAGUUCUCAAAUGUCUCACCUCCAAAAUAAGAAGAAUGAUGCAAAUAUUAUCGCUAAUGAGAAAAAGUGGGCUCGAGUUCAGAAAGGCACCAAAGUUCUUGUACAAGUUGUCAAAGAGGGGUUGGGUUCAAAAGGUCCCACACUGACUGCUUAUCCAAAAUUGAAAAGCAGAUUCUGGAUAUUAUUAACUCGUUGUGAUAGAAUUGGAAUCUCCAAAAAAAUUGGCGGUGUUGAGCGUACACGAUUAAAAGUCAUAGCAAAAACUUUGCAGCCUCUGGGUUUUGGUUUGACUGUAAGGACUGUUGCUGCUGGCCAUUCUUUAGAGGAGCUGCAAAAGGAUUUGGAAGGUCUAGUUUCAACUUGGAAAAGUAUUACGGAACAUGCAAAAUCUGCAGCACUUGCUGCAGAUGAAGGUGUGGCAGGGACCAUUCCUGUUAUUCUACACCGGGCAAUGGGUCAGACGCUUUCAGUUGUCCAGGAUUAUUUUAAUGAGACGGUUGAGAAAAUGGUUGUUGACUCUCCAAGGACAUAUCAUGAGGUUACCAGUUACCUUCAGGAGAUUGCCCCUGAUCUUUGUGAUCGAGUUGAGUUGUACAACAAAAGAAUUCCUCUUUUUGAUGAAUUUAACAUCGAAGAAGAGAUCAACAACAUGCUUAGUAAAAGGGUUCCACUUGCUAAGGGAGGCUCUUUAGUGAUCGAGCAAACUGAGGCACUAGUCUCUGUCGAUGUGAAUGGAGGACAUGGGAUGUUUGGUCAAGGGACUUCACAGGAGAAAGCUAUUUUAGAAGUCAACCUUGCAGCUGCUAAACAAAUUGCAAGGGAGUUACGACUGAGAGAUAUCGGUGGCAUAAUUGUGGUAGAUUUCAUUGAUAUGGCUGAUGAAUGUAAGUCGAAGUCUCUCCCUCUCUUGAAGCAAAUAAGAGAUUGGUCUAUGAAGAAGCUAAGAAGGCUGUUGAGAGAGAUAGAUCAAUGGUUAAAGUCUCUGAACUUUCGAGGCAUGGACUUAUGGAAAUAACAAGAAAGCGAGUACGACCUAGUGUGACAUUUAUGAUUAGUGAACCAUGCACCUGCUGCCAUGCCACUGGAAGAGUAGAAGCAUUGGAGACCUCCUUCUCCAAAAUUGAACAAGAAAUUUCUCGAUUACUGGCGAUGAUGGAACAGAGACCAGACCCAGAGAACCCUAAAUCCUGGCCAAAAUUUAUUCUGAGAAUUGACCAUCACAUGUGUGACUACUUAACUUCUGGGAAAAGGACAAAACUUGCAUUCUUGAGCAGUUCCCUCAAAGUUUGGAUUCUACUAAAGGUUGCUAGAGGUUUCACCAGGGGUGCAUUUGAAGUGAAACCAUUUACAGAUGAAAAGGCACACAAAGAUCAGCGGCAAGUAACCAUUCCGAUGUUACGGCCUACAGAAACCAGAACUAACAAUCCUGGCAGAAAAGUGACCUUGUUUCCAGUCAAAAAGUGGAAGGCCGGUGGAAAAUGAUAUUUGCCACAUUGACGUGCAUUUGUUUUGUGAACAGACCAGAACCAUUUCUUUUUUAUUGCUUGAUGUUAUUAUAUAAGAGGAGGAUGUAGAGAGAGGAGAAAGAGGAGAGGAGAAGGUUGGCAUUGACCUGUUUCACUAGAUGGCAUUUUGUUGAUAAUAGCCUGUAUUUUGCUUGGGUCAGCUGGUCCAUCCAAUAUGAACUUCAGAACUACUUAGUUCACAUUGUAGGAAUGCUAGGCCAAGUAGUUUUGUUACCGAGAAAUAGUAGCAUUUUCAAAAGCAAA